CCUANGGGUGGCAGCAGUCGGGAAUAUUGGGCAAUGGGCGCAAGCCUGACCCAGCGACGCCGCGUGAGGGAUGAAGGCCUUCGGGUCGUAAACCUCUGUCGGGAGGGAAGAAUGGCGGUGGGGCGAACAGCCUCGCUGUCUGACGGUACCUCCAAAGGAAGCGCCGGCUAACUCCGUGCCAGCAGCCGCGGUAAUACGGAGGGCGCAAGCGUUGUUCGGAAUCACUGGGCGUAAAGCGCGUGUAGGCGGCCGGGUAAGUCGGAUGUGAAAUCCCGAGGCUCAACCUCGGAACUGCAUUCGAAACUGUUCGGCUCGAGUCCCGGAGAGGAUGGCGGAAUUCCCGGUGUAGGGGUGAAAUCCGUAGAUAUCGGGAGGAACACCAGUGGCGAAGGCGGCCAUCUGGACGGUGACUGACGCUGAGACACGAAAGCGUGGGGAGCAAACAGGAUUAGAUACCCCANUANUC
rnacentral:rRNA from 1 species